rnacentral:tRNA from 1 species
UAAAAGAUAAGCUAAGCAAGCUGAUGGGCCCAUACCCCAUUUAUGAGAGUCCAACCUCUCUAUUUUUA